UGUGGCACAUUGUGUUACAGAUCUAAAUGUCAUUGUCGGGGAUUUAUGAUCUUCCGUGAUUAUUUAUUUAGUUUCUCUUGUCUUAAAAAAAAAAGACAGCUUUUAGGGUCAGCCUUCGUGACAGCACUACGCAUCACCACAGCGUCAGCCCGGCCUUUGCUUCUGCUUCGGCCUGAGCGUGAUCAGGAAUUUGACGUAUCCCCAACCAGCUGGUCACCAUCUGUAUGACAUUGGAUGUGAGGACUUGAAUGCCUGAACGCUAACAACACUUCAGUAAAGAAAAUCUUCAGUGAAGAGCUUCCUAAAUGGCAUCUCUGUGACAUGUAGAGAAUGGCCUGGAGAAACUGCAAAGAGCUGAGUUAUUUGUAAGCAGAAGAGGUGUGGUCCCUGGCACUGCAGCCCAGAGUCCCCUCCACCUCUAACCGCAUGUGGAGAAGAGUACAGAAGGCUUCUCAGCACUCGGCGUGAUUCUCAGCCUCAGUGGAAACAUAAACCCUUGGACCAGCGAAGCGCUAAGUCCCCUGGAGAACGAGGGGUUUAGAAGCCCGGUGAAUGUCUGGAGAGAGACUGGCUCUUCCCAGGGCUUACUCUCUACCUUGCUUCAUUGCUUAAGAAGAGCAGAGCCCAGGAUUUCUGUAUAAUGGAGUAAAUCAUGACAAUCUCAAGUCUUGGAAACUGCAUCAGACUGAACCAUGACCUAUCAAAGUCAUCAAACAAGAUAUCAAGGGAUCAGACAAGGGAAUGAAGAUGUCUGCUUGAAAUUCUGAAGACACCGAAGACCAUUAUCAUGCUGUUCUUUCAUUUCUCUUCAGUUUGAAGAUAGCUGAACUGGCUAAGUGUGAGUCCUACUACCGUCACAUACUGAAAAGUAAACUCCAAGGCCAUUAUUGGAAAAAAUAAGAAAUUGGCUAAAUGCUCACAUCUCUACAAAUCAAUCCAUGCUUUUACUUUGGAUAACAGAGCCAGCUCUGGUCCUCACCAACAACUAACCUAGCUUUGAAGGCAUAUAAUGUGUGCCAGUCUCAACUGUCCCAGCUCAGAGUCAGGUACCACAAGAAUAUUUUAUUUUAUUUUAUUUAGUUCAAAAGAGAAACCUACCCCAUUCAGUUCAGGGUCUACGUGUUCUCAGGACUUUCAGGACUUGGCGAAUGGAGGACAUGGUUUUGCUGGCUGCUGUGUUCCAUUUUGGACACAGUAAGUCAUUUUCUCUUUGUAUCUGAAACAGAAGCCUGAUUGUUUUACAUCUGGGCAGUGGAGCUUGUGCUCCUUCAGCAGCCUGGCUCUUUAUAAUGACCUAUGGGUAUUUUCCUCUGCCAUUUAACUCAUACAUAGUAGGAAAUAAAUCUAAACCUUCACCCUCUAGUUCAGAUCUCUUCCCGCUGCUGAAAGGAUUCAGGGUGCAUUGAGUUCAAAAAGAAUUAGCAGCAACUAUGCAUCCAAAACCUAACAAUUCCAGUAGGGAACUUCCCUGGAAGCAUGUUUAUGCCAUGAAUUUUCUGCACCCUCAUCCAUCUCCCAAAUUUCCCCAGACUUCUUGUACCGUGGCAUUGUUGCUGAGAACCUCUCCAAAGAGGUCUCACUCCAGUGAUGGUGGCCAAGCAGCUGCCAGCCGGUGACAUCAGACCUAUUGGCAGGAACCACAGUGGCACUUCUGACAAUUUGCCAGGAGUUCCAGGAGCCAGGCAUGAGGCGAAUAGUCCAAAUAAUCAUUUCUGCCCAAGCUGUCCUCAGCUGGGGCAACCUACCACAAAUUAAAGGCCAUCUGUCUGGACCAUACAGGCUAUGCUGCCAGAAGAAACCAGAUGUCAGCACAUUACUCUAGUCCACGACCUCUUUUAGGAGAUUAACGUGGAUUAUUUAUGGGUGGGCUGAGGUGGUUGCCCUAUAUGAGCCUGUUUCCUGGUGCAGGGCUUAAGAAAUUAUGUAUAUAUGAUAUAUAAACUUUGCAACGAUAUCAUUAAUUUUGGGUUUUGCCAAGUUCCAGACCUAUGUACUCUAUAAGUGGGCUUCUGGUCCUGUUUCAAUAAUAAUAAUUAAAAAAAAACCUCCCAUGUCCCAUUUCUCUGUGUUUUCCACGGGCUCUAUGUAAGUAUAGAUAUGAAUACUCUCCUAUGGAGAGUCACUGGUGUUUAGUUCUUGGCAACUCUCUGUGAACUCUCCUGCAGUUUGAGAAGGGUUCCAGGUUAAGAGCCUUUUUAGAAUUGGAAGAGAAUUGGGUGACGUCAUUCUUGAUGGUCCUUGUUCUUCUAAGUUGCAAACUGAUAGGUCCUCUUUCCAAAGCAAAUGCUGGGCCAGUUCACUUAUCCCAUGAAGGGAAGAAAAUCAGAUGCAUACAGAAUUAAGAGUUAUAAAAGUUGCAUUCUAGUCCUGGCUCUACCAUCUAUAUGCUUGGGAACCUGGGCAAGUUGCCUGUUCUUUCGAGGUCUCUGAUUAUUCUUUUCUGUAUUUUGGAAGUCUGUGUCUUACAUAUAAUGAGUGUUAAAGUCAUGGGAGUCGGCGAUGUUGCAACCUCUGCAGUGUGCUGGCCAGGGCUUCACAGCAAAGAAGUACCCCGAGCCCCAUACCAUCCUUCCACUAUUUCAUUGAACAUUCGUGUAAAACCUGCUUAUAAUCAUCUGAGCCUGGAAGGUAAUUCCAUCUCAUACAUAGGUACAGUUUUUUUAUGUUUUAACAUUCCAGGGAUAUUCCAGAAAUGUAGCUUUCAUAUAAAUGAAAUAAAGUACCACCCAUUAUUUGAAAAUUCCCCAAGAGUUGUUUCCCAGUUUAGAAAGCACAUCAAGAGUGGAAACAGCUCCAUGAUACUUGAACUGUUUGAUAAAACAUGUUUGUAGUGGGUUUGCUACCCUGGGUAGUGCUGUGUGUGUGGCCCUGUUUGUAUGAGCCUGCAUUGGCUUCUGGUGCCUUCACAGGCACACACAUCUGACUAGUUUACUAUGUUUGUAUCACCUGUGUAAUCAACUAUGUUAUCACUAUCUUAACAGUCUUAACAAUUUUUAUUAGAGCCUGCAUUUUCAUUUUGUACUGAGUCACACAAAUUAUAUAAUCAUUCCUGAAAUAGGGGUUGGUGAAGAUUUCCUAUAAAGAGCCAGAUAAUAAAUACUUUGGGCUUUGAGGGCCAACAGGGGAUGAAAGAUACUAAGUAGGAACUUACAUAAUAAUUAAAAAAAUAAUCAAAAUGGAAAGAAAAUCUUUAUCUCAUGGGCCGUACUAAAACAGAUGUAGAGCUGUAGCUGGUAUUUUACUGACCCCUGUAUUAAAAUAUACGUUUUAUUAUAACAUAAUCACCUAAUUUCUCCUUCUUGUCACCCUUAGGGCAUUAUGCUUAUUUUUCUGGAAUUGUGUUUGUAGACAGGUGAUAUUCCCUGUGAAAUUCAUUUUAAGGACUACACUACAAAAUCCAUUUCUCCAAAAGGGGGCAUCAGUUCGGAGAGCCUUGCUCUAGAGCAUUCCAUUGAUGAUCUUUUACCUCCUUUCUCUUCUCACUAGAAUUCACCCUACACAUUGUUGCUUUGCCAGACUUAUUUUUCUCAAAAUGCAGCUCUGGUCAUGCCAUGCCACUGCUCAAAAGUCUUUAACCGUAUUUUCUACAGGGUAACUUGUGGAUAUUUCAGAUUUGGACUGAAAUUUCUCUGUAUAAACUAGUUCUAAGAUCUUCUAGUCUUUAUCUCCCACUGAUCUGGUGACACUUCUUAUCCACCAUCAUUUAACCCCUCUUUCCAAGGCUGGCUCCUUCAGGAAAUCACUGGGCCAGAGUUCCAUGGCUCUCUGGGUCUUUCUCAUGGUUCCACUCACAUUUUGUGCUAAAUUCUCCCUAUUAUUUUGGAAG